UCAACUUUUUGAUGAGAUUCAAAUUUUAUGACCAGGCCCUGUAUGUAAAAAUUUGUUUAACAUAGUCAGAUUAGUUCAUCUAAAACGUUGGGAUAUUUAAAAUGAAAAGCUUGACACCAUCGUACAUCUCUCACAAACCUGACCAGACAUCUCUAGACCCGAAUGACCCAAUGUCAAAAAAGCAAUAAAAUAGGUAGGUAAACAGGUCUCCAAAAACAGUUAUAGUUUCAUUAUUCUCUCUUUACUGUUCAGUCAUUCGUUGAAGAACUCAAGGGAAUGUCUCAAGAAAAAUCUCCCGCCAAUCCAAAAAGGAUUUUGCUCCCUCAACACAUUAAAAGUUUCAUUCGGAAGUUAUCAACUUAAUGCAAUCAAAGCCUGCAGAAGAGGCCGAAGUUCCAGACGGUUCCUCUCCAUCAAGAUAUGUUAUAGAUUCUGACAUGGCAUACCGAGAAGCUCAAGAGGAGCAAAAAAGCGUAGCAGGUGCUUACGAUUCUGACGAGGCGUACCGAGAUUUACCCGAAGUCCUUCUGGGCCCUGCACAAGAACUGUUUCUCUGCAAAAUUGCCGACAACAAACACUAAAUCGUUUUCUACCAAGCGUUCAAGCUGUAAGAAAUGACACACUGUUACAGAAUACCACACCAGCCGAAUGGAGUCAGCGGGAAGCGACCUGAUUCUCCAACACGGGAACAUGAUCGCGUCCCUGGGGGAGGCCGUGACGGAGAAGGUCCACGCUAUGCGGCGGUUGGAGGCGAGGCUGCCACCUGAGCAGCAACCCCCGUCACAAGACCUGGCUGGAGUGCCCCUGCCAUCGUCUCCACCGUCGCCGAGGAGGACCAUACAGCUGAGCUUUCCCCAGGGAUUCGGCGGGGACGCUACCCAGUGCUCUGGGUUCCUGCUCCAGUUGGAGCUCUACUUUGCCUCCCUCAGCCCUCACCCGGGGAAUAGGGA